AUUGAACGCUGGCGGCAGGCCUAACACAUGCAAGUCGAACGAGUGGCGGACGGGUGAGUAAUGUCUGGGAAAAUGCCCGAUGGAGGGGGAUAACUACUGGAAACGGUAGCUAAUACCGCAUACCAUCGGAUGUGCCCAGAGGGGAUUAGCUUGUAGGUGGGGUAACGGCUCACCUAGGCGACGAUCCCUAGCUGGUCUGAGAGGAUUACCAGCCACACUGGAACUGGGACCCGGUCCAGACUCCUACGGGAGGCAGCAGUGGGGAAUAUUGCACAAUGGGCGCAAGCCUGAUCCAGCCAUGCCGCGUGGGUGAAGAAGGUCUUCGGAUUGUAAAGCACUUUAAGUUGGGAGGCGUUACCAACAGAAUAAGCACCGGCUAACUUCGUGCCAGCAGCCGCGGUAAUUC
rnacentral:rRNA from 1 species